UGGCAACCAGCUUGGGUCUGCUCCCACGCUGUUGGGGCGGGGGCGGGGGGGGGGUUGUUCUUUUGCUCCUUGGGUCCACACUGCGUUUAUGAGCUGUAAUAUUCACCGCAAAGGUCUGCAGCUUCACUACUAAGCCAACGAGACCACAAACCCACCAGGAGGAACGACAAUUCCAGACGCGUGGCUUUAACAGCUGUUAACACUCACCGCGAAGGUCUGUAGCUUCAUUUCUGAGUCAGCGAGACCACGAACCCACCAGAAAGAAGAAACUCCGAACACACCCGAACCUCAGAAGGAACAAAUUCCGGACACGCCGCCUUUAAGAACUGUAACACUCACCACAAGGGUCCGCGGCUUCAUUCUUGAAGUCAGUGAGACCAAGAACCCACUAAUUCCGGACACACUUUGACCAGCAGAGCAGGCAGAAGUAAAGCCACGGUUCACAGAAGUGCCUCCCCCAACGCCAGUGCCCUGGGUCCAAGAGCAGAAUCUCAGUGUUCCUGCAGAAGUCACCAUGGAAGAAUAAUCGUGUUGUGAUUUUGAAAGGAAAUUGAAAUCCCCUCUUUACUGCUUUCUAAAUGAACCUUAUAAUUUUC
rnacentral:lncRNA from 1 species